rnacentral:misc_RNA from 1 species
GAUGAAGAACGUAGCGAAAUGCGAUAAGUAGUGUGAAUUGCAGAAUUCAGUGAAUCAUCGAAUCUUUGAACGCACAUUGCGCCCUUUGGUAUUCCUUAGGGCAUGCCUGUUCGAGCGUCAUUUUAACCUUCAAGCUCAGCUUGGUGUUGGGUGACUGUCCGCUUCACCGCGGACUCGCCUCAAAAUUAUUGGCGGCCGGUACAUUGGCUUCGAGCGCAGCAGAAACGCGAACUCGGGCCCGUCGUAUUGGCUCCCAGAAGCUAUCUUCACAAUUUUGACCUCGGAUCAGGUAGGGAUACCCGCUGAACUUAAGCAUAUCAAUAAGCGGAGGA